UCUACAAAAUCAGGAAUAGCGAAACAAGUUUAACCGGUCACGUGUCGGGGCGUGUGCCAAGAUUUCAUUGUUGCGUUCCUUUGUGUUGGCCCACGGUUCGUCUCUGUCGUAAUGUCGGGAAAGGUGGAAAUCAGUCGUCCCAGAAAUAUAAUGGACAGACUGGCUUCUGGCGUUGUUAUUGGCGAUGGUGGCUAUGUCUUUGCACUUGAGAAGCGUGGCUAUGUCCGGGCUGGAGCCUGGACGCCUGAAUCCACAGUAAAACAUCCAGAGGCAGUGAGGCAGCUACACAGAGAGUUCCUACGUUCUGGCUCUGAUGUCAUACAGGCUUUCACAUUUUAUGCCAGUGAAGACAAGCUGGAGAACAGAGGCAAUGAUGCUGCACAAACAAUAGGGGUGCAUGAAAUCAAUAAAGCUGCCUGUGACUUGGCUAAAGAAGUAGCUGCAGAAGGCGAUGCAUUAGUACUUGGUGGUCUCUCUCAGACUCCAACAUAUCUGAGUGGCUUGGGAAAAGAAGCAGUACAGCAGGAGUUCCAGAAACAAAUAGAUGUAUUUGUAGAGAAUGACUUGGAUUUUAUCUUGGGAGAGUACUUUGAACACGUGGAAGAAGCAGAGUGGGCAGUAGAAGUGAUAAAGAAGUGUGGCAAACCAGUAGGUAUAACCUUAUGCAUUGGCCCUGAGGGAGACUUACAUGGUAUACCUGCUGGUGAGUGUGCGGUACGGCUAGCUAAAGCCGGUGCUGACAUGGUUGGUGUCAACUGUCAUUUUGGGCCAACCGUUUCUCUUGAAACAAUGCGAAUUAUGAAAGCUGCACUGGAGAAAGCAAGUCUAAGCCCCUAUCUUAUUGUUCAACCUCUUGGGUAUGUCACACCGGACGCUAGCAGACAAGGAUUUAUUGACUUGCCUGAAUUUCCAUAUGCUCUUGAACCUCGAGUUAUAACACGCUGGGAAGCUCAGACAUUUGCUCGUGAAGCUUAUAAUAUGGGCAUCAAGUUCAUUGGUGGUUGCUGCGGCUUUGAAGCCUACCACAUUAGAGCAGUAGCUGAAGAAUUGUCGAAAGAGAGGGGUCAUCCUCCUCCUAUUGGUGAGGAAUAUGGCACAUGGGUUGAUGGUUUAAAGCUACAUACCAAGCCUUGGGUACGGGCAAGGUGAGGAAGAUGUUCAUGACACCUACUUCUUUCACUGUCUUUGCGUAAGGUCCUCUAUAUACCACAAGAAGUGGUAAGCUCUCUAGAAAUGACAUUGGCUCACUACCUGGUAGUGACAUAAAAGCAAGAUGAAGUUGAGUGACCAGGCAAUGGUGACAAUGGGCACACAUACAGAAAAGCAAAGGUUCUAUAGUUCUAAGGGCCAGCCGAUCAUAUUGGGACAACCUCAAGCCUGCUUCUGGAAGGCCUUUCUGUUCUUCAUUCUCUAUGUGUGACAGCUGGGGUGUAACUCAGGGACACAAGGAGCUGAUGCAGCACAAGGAAGCCACAACAGA